rnacentral:rRNA from 1 species
AUUGAACGCUGGCGGCAUGCCUUACACAUGCAAGUCGAACGGUAACAGGUCUUCGGAUGCUGCCGAGUGGCGAACGGGUGCGUAAUACAUCGGAACGUGCCCGAUCGUGGGGGAUAACGAGGCGAAAGCUUUGCUAAUACCGCAUACGAUCUACGGAUGAAAGCGGGGGAUCUUCGGACCUCGCGCGGCCGGAGCGGCCGAUGGCAGCUUAGGUAGUUGGUGGGAUAAAAGCUUACCAAGCCGACGAUCUGUAGCUGGUCUGAGAGGAUGAUCAGCCACACUGGAACUGAGACACGGCCCAGACUCCUACGGGAGGCAGCAGUGGGGAAUUUUGGACAAUGGGCGAAAGCCUGAUCCAGCCAUGCCGCGUGCAGGAUGAAGGCCUUCGGGUUGUAAACUGCUUUUGUACGGAACGAAAAGCCUCUUUCUAAUAAAGAGGGGUCAUGACGGUACCGUAAGAAUAAGCACCGGCUAACUACGUG